rnacentral:lncRNA from 1 species
AUGUUCCCUUCUGCUCUCUCCUAUCCAGUUCCUCCACGUCUUCUCCCUUUGGGUGUAUCCCACCUUGUUCGUACUAUAAUGUCUUUUUCUACCCCCUCGUUGCUUCAUUCUUGGCUGCUUUCUCAGCCAGUCCUUGUGUCCCCUUUGGGAGCUUCUUUGAGAUCCCAGGACCUCCCUUUCCUGAUGUGCAGGCAGCCUCCUUGCCUAACAAAGCCUAAUUCUCCUUUAAAAACCGUGGAAGUUUUGUUUCACCCUUUCCCUUGCUCCCGGUUGGUGUCUUCCCAAUCUCACCAUCCUUUUCCUGCUUUAAUAUCAAUACAUCCUGUAUUUUCUUUCUCCCUUGCUGCUGAUUCCUUUUUCUCAUUUCCAGUCAUAAACCCAGCCCAGUCACUCCCAGGACAAAGGACUUCGGGAAGCAGCUUUCAACUGAACCAUGGAAAAUCAGGUCAGUUUACAGUUUGUCUUCUUUCAAGGGAGUUUGUUGUCACUCAUUCCUUUGCCAACAUGCAGUUUUUACACCUCACUUGCAAUCCAACUUCUAGGACACUGGAUGGAAAGGCAUGAAGUUAUGAAAGUCACUUCCAAAUCCUGCAGCUGGCAAAAGUUCAACAUGACUGCAGAAAAGAUUGGAUGCCUUGACACAAGUGCAGUCAAGAAAAUGUGAGGCAAAGGGCCAGAGACUUCUUGCAUAGAGUCUGAACCAGUAAGACACCAUUACUAAGCUGUAAUGUGCAUAGGCUUGUCACAGGAGUGACUCAUCUGAAACCAAAGAAGUUACAUAGCAACCCUUACAUAGUAAAGUCAAGGAAGAGUUCAAAUAUAAUGCUGUUUCAUGAACAGAAAGUUACAGUGAACAAGUGAGCACCCCAACCAUCCACAAGAAAACCUCAGGAGCAGGGCCUGUAACCUCCUAGUGUCUUACAAUGGGAAGAGUCUGGAGGAGAAACAUCAGGAGAAGGUGCAAAACUGUGGCUCUGUUGAAGAAAGGCUUUCAAUACUCUCUCCUGUAAAAUUCUCACAGAGAGGGGAUAGAUCAGCAGAUAGAUACAGUAGAUUGAAAACUGGCUGAACAGCUGAAUUCAGAGGAUUGCAAUCAUGGUAGGAGAUCUAGUUGAAGGCCAAUAAUUAAAGAUGCACCCCAGGAGUCAACACUGGUCCAGUUUUAUUCAAAAUUUUAUUAAUCAACUGGAUGCUGGGAUAGAAUGUACCCUGAAAAUUUUGCUGAAGACACAAGACUGGGAGAUGAUAUGCCAGAGGGUUGUGCUGCCCCCCAGAGGCAUCUGUAUGGUCUGGAGAAAUGGACAGACAGUAACCUCAUGAAGUUCAAAAAAAAGAAGUGCAAAGUCCUGAAUCUGAAGAGGAGCAACCCCAGGCACCAGUAUAUACUGGGGGUCACCCAGUCGAGAAGAAAUUAGGCAGGAAUUUGAACAGCAGACUGAAUGUGGGCCAGCAAUGGGCCCUGGCUGCAGAAACAGCCAACUGCAUCCUGGGCUGCCUUAGGGAAUGUACUGAGGGAGAGGAAGGUGAUCCCUUGGUGCUGGUCAGUCCAGGUGUGGAGUGCUGUGUUGAGUGCUGGGCUGCUCAGUUCAGGAGAGACAUGGACACACUGGAGAGAGUCCAACCAAGGGAAGAGGGAGGAAUGAGCACCUCUUCAGAAGAAGAGAAGGUUUACAGGGAUCUCAUCAAUAUAAAUAGCUGAGGGGAGAUGAUGCCUUGGAGGAUGCAGCCAUCUUUUCUGUAAUGCUCAGUGCACUACAUGACCAGAGGCAAUGGACACAAAAUAGAAACACAGGAGGUUCCUUCUGAACACCAGGAAACACUUCUUCCCUGUGAUGAUGACUGAGCACUGGAACAGACUGUCCAGAGAAGUUGUGGAGUCCAAGCAUGUGGUUUGUUGAAAAUUUUCAAGAGUCAGUGGAAUAAAGGUCUGAAUAACCUGGUCUGAUCCUUCUGU